rnacentral:rRNA from 1 species
AUGGCCGGAGCCGGGGAAGACGAAUCAGCUCCCCCUCCUCCUUCUGCACUACUAGAUCAGAAGCAGCCCAUGGAAGAGACGGCGGCGGCAGCGGGCAAGCUCACCAGGCUGGAGCACGAGCACGGCGCCCCCGACGAGACGUCCUUCCGGAUGGAGGACCUUCCCGCGGAAGUUCAACCUGUUAUAAUGUCACAGCUGCCACUGAAAGAGGCUGUGAGGACCAGCAUUGUUUCAAGGAGUUGGAGAAUGCUCUGGACAUUCCACUCUGAUCUAUGUUUUGAUGGUCCCACUCCCAAUGAUCUGGAUUCUGACACCGAUGACGAGUUCGCUGGUCAGGAUAGUACCAAAAUGAAACGAGCAAAGUUCAUUGAGACUGUAAAUUCGGUUAUUCAACAGCACAGCGGGAUAGGAAUCAAUAAGUUCAGCGUCAGGUGCGGCAUGCACAAAGAGUACACUGAUCAUCUUGACAGGUGGAUUGGGUUUGCCACUUCAUCAAAGGCAAAGAUAAUACAUUUUAAUCUGAAGAAAAUUUAUCAGCCAUUCGAAUUUCACCACUUCCCUCUUGAGGCCUUAGAUUCACAAGGUUGCUCAUUUGUGCAGUCCUUAUUUCUCGCCAGUGUUUCUAUAAAGCCAAACUCAGUAAUAUCUGGCUUUACAAUACUCAGAAGGCUUGUUCUGGAAUUUGUUAAGAUAUUAGGAGAUUUUCCAGGUUUGCUAGCAAAAUGUUCAGGACUUGAGGACUUAGAGAUCAUCGGGUGCUAUGGUGUGGACAACUUAAUCGUACCACACAAACUCGAUAAACUUCAACAUUUGCUGAUUGCCGGAAUGGACAUCCAGAUGGUUGAGUUUCAUGCUACUGAUCUUGCUCAUUUUGAGUACAAAGGGCGAGUGAUCCCUAUAGUCCUUCAUGGUUGCUCGAAACUAGAGAAGGCAACAAUGAAGUUUAAUGGCACUAAAGCACUGGCACAUACAUUCACUGCAGUUCCAAGCAUUUUGUCAGUGAAGACAUUACAUCUGCAGGCAUUCAUAUCAAAAUAUGCACAGAAGCUGCCAGCAAGACAACAGGGAAUGUUUUUGCAUUUGAGGCAUAUGACUUGUCAAUUAAUCGUCAACUCUAACGACCCAAAUGGUGAUAAUGGAAUUCUUCAGCUGGCCAAUUGUUUGGAUGUUGCACCCAGACUGGAGACGUUGCACUUGCAUAUGCUCUGUGCGAUAUCCAGUAGUUUCUCCAGCGGUGAGGUGGCGGGUAUGCGCCGCCAUGAUCAUCUCAAGACGGUCUUCAUGAGCGGUUUUCGAUGUUACAAGGCUCAGAUUGAGCUGGCAUGCUGUAUCUUGAGAAAUGCUUCUGUUCUUGAGCAGCUGAUAAUAGAACCAAGGAUUACAGACAAAGUAUGGGCGGGUGAUUGUUCCGAGUGGAAUACUGACCUUGGCGAAAUCUUACCAGGGGUCUGUGAGUGGGCACAGGUCACCUCGGAGCACUUCCGUAAGGUGAUUUCCGUUGUAGGUGCCUCCCAUCACACAACGGAGGCUUCUUUGGCCCAGCAAGACGAAGGAUCUCUUCAGCACCAUCAUUAG